AGACAACAGAAAUGAAUUUAUAUAUUAUGUUAGUGUGAAUUAAGAUAUCAAAUUACAUGGUAUACUUUUGUCAGUGGCUAUUUUAGAAUACAUCACAUGAUGGCCACCACCCAUGGUGGGAUCUACUGGAAGAUUGAAAACUGUGUUCAAUGUAUGAGACCUCUAAGUAAUGUCAUGGAAUCUUCAAAAUUGAUGGUUCUGGACUUAGCUUUUGAAGAGUUAUGAGCUUCACGUAAGCCAGAUGGAAGAAUGACAGAAUAUUCUGACCCAGGACUGACUCAGACAACAACUUUAACAAUUAACAGAUUUAUUAAACAAGAGAGAUUCUUUUACAAAAUGUUAAACACAUAAAUAUCAUUUGGAGAUUGGAAACAGAUCUUCAAGUUCACAAUUUGGUAGCUGAUGAUAGAAGUUCAAAUAAAAGGUGAUAAGGCCAUAAGUCCAAUAAUGCUAAGCAUCUCUUCACUGUGAAGAGAAUUGCAAUAGUUUCUUUUUCUUUAGAGUCCUGGUGUGUGUUUUUGUGAUAAUGAUAUAAUUAUGGCUGAGAAGUUGUCCUUUCCUUUAUUCUUUUUAUGCAUGUGAAGUUUGGAAGCAAAAGCCUUUUGGAAUCAUCCCUUUUUUCCUUUCAUAAUAGCAUCUCUCGCUUUUAUUUGCCAAGAUUAAUUCUAACAAAUUCGAAGGCAACUGACUCUUUUGGCAGUUUUGACUCAAUUGUAUAUCAAGUUCAGAGGCAACUUAUUCCUUCGAUAGUUUUGACUCAACAGUCAAUUGAGAAAUUUCUUUUCCAGAUCAAAAUUUGACCUUAAUUGACCCAUCCCCAGAUGAAGGUCUUGGAGACAGUGCACACACUCAUUUUUCUUUUAUUUUAAAUAAACACAGAUUGCUUACAGCUUCAUCUGACUGUGACAUCUGCACAUAAUAUGAUCUAUAUAGUAUCAGUUUGAUUCAUAUAUUUUUAUUGUGGGUGACUGAGGACUAAAGUCCUCUCACUUGGUGAUACAAUGUUUAUCACAUAAUUUAUCUUCUUACAGUCC
rnacentral:lncRNA from 1 species